rnacentral:tRNA from 1 species
AUUCAUUGUCAAUAAAACAAAAUAAAACACAAGAUGAAGACGAUCAUGAGGAUGAAGAUGAUUAUGAGCAAGAUGA